AGUCCAGUCUGUCCAAGUACCAAGUGACACAGUAGGGAUCCAGUUUACUGCUCUGACUGGAAGUUCUGGUAAUUUUGUGGCCGACAGAAUUAAUCUCAACACCAAUACCUCUGAACUGAUAGCUGACAAAGGAGGUGCUACCGAUGUCCAGAUUGUCAUAAAAUUCACACCAGUUUUACGUAAUAAAAACACAAACUACUCCAUUGGUUUUGUGCUCUACCAAAACGACCGGUUCUUCAGGUCCAGG